GACGAACGCUGGCGGCGUGCUUAACACAUGCAAGUCGAACGGAAAGGCCCUGCUUUUGUGGGGUGCUCGAGUGGCGAACGGGUGAGUAACACGUGAGUAACCUGCCCUUGACUUUGGGAUAACUUCAGGAAACUGGGGCUAAUACCGGAUAGGAGCUCCUGCUGCAUGGUGGGGGUUGGAAAGUUUCGGCGGUUGGGGAUGGACUCGCGGCUUAUCAGCUUGUCGGUGGGGUAGUGGCUUACCAAGGCUUUGACGGGUAGCCGGCCUGAGAGGGUGACCGGCCACAUUGGGGCUGAGAUACGGCCCAGACUCCUACGGGAGGCAGCAGUGGGGAAUAUUGCACAAUGGGCGGAAGCCUGAUGCAGCAACGCCGCGUGCGGGAUGACGGCCUUCGGGUUGUAAACCGCUUUCGCCUGUGACGAAGCGUGAGUGACGGUAAUGGGUAAAGAAGCACCGGCUAACUACGUG
rnacentral:rRNA from 1 species